rnacentral:ncRNA from 16 species
UAAAACUACCAGGCGUGCCUUAAAGUCCAGACUGAGAAAAAAACGGAUGUUUUUUAACCCUUCGGACAUGAUCUGGAUCGUCCUGCGUAGGAAAGUAGUGGGUUAGAUUG